GAUGAACGCUGGCGGCGUGCCUAAUACAUGCAAGUCGAGCGAACAGACGAGGAGCUUGCUCCUCUGACGUUAGCGGCGGACGGGUGAGUAACACGUGGAUAACCUACCUAUAAGACUGGGAUAACUUCGGGAAACCGGAGCUAAUACCGGAUAAUAUAUUGAACCGCAUGGUUCAAUAGUGAAAGACGGUAUUGCUGUCACUUAUAGAUGGAUCCGCGCCGCAUUAGCUAGUUGGUAAGGUAACGGCUUACCAAGGCAACGAUGCGUAGCCGACCUGAGAGGGUGAUCGGCCACACUGGAACUGAGACACGGUCCAGACUCCUACGGGAGGCAGCAGUAGGGAAUCUUCCGCAAUGGGCGAAAGCCUGACGGAGCAACGCCGCGUGGGUGAUGAAGGUCUUCGGAUCGUAAAACUCUGUUAUUAGGGAAGAACAAAUGUGUAAGUAACUAUGCACGUCUUGACGGUACCUAAUCAGAAAGCCACGGCUAACUACGUGCCAGCCGCCGCGGUAA
rnacentral:rRNA from 1 species